rnacentral:rRNA from 1 species
AUUGAACGCUGGCGGCAUGCCUUACACAUGCAAGUCGAACGGUAACGGGUCCUUCGGGAUGCCGACGAGUGGCGAACGGGUGAGUAAUAUAUCGGAACGUGCCCAGUAGUGGGGGAUAACUGCUCGAAAGAGCAGCUAAUACCGCAUACGACCUGAGGGUGAAAGGGGGGGAUCGCAAGACCUCUCGCUAUUGGAGCGGCCGAUAUCAGAUUAGCUAGUUGGUGGGGUAAGGGCCUACCAAGGCAACGAUCUGUAGUUGGUCUUAGAGGACGACCAGCCACACUGGGACUGAGACACGGCCCAGACUCCUACGGGAGGCAGCAGUGGGGAAUUUUGGACAAUGGGCGCAAGCCUGAUCCAGCAAUGCCGCGUGCAGGAAGAAGGCCUUCGGGUUGUAAACUGCUUUUGUCAGGGAAGAAAUCUUCUGGGCUAAUACCCCGGGAGGAUGACGGUACCUGAAGAAUAAGCACCGGCUAACUACGUGCCAGCAGCCGCCGCCG